rnacentral:misc_RNA from 1 species
UAAAACGUAGUAAAACGUGUGUAAAAUGUAGUGUAAAACCUAUAUCAAAAAAUUACAAAAGUGACCAAAUUUAUCAGAGUAUCUAUGAUAUUAUUGAUCAACAAUUUAGACUGUGUGACGUCGAUCGAGCUCUCGAGAUCGUGUCGUGCGAUCGUUCGCGAUAGCUUCGAGCAACUUCGAGGACGCGCUCGUUGCUUGCUUUACAGUGGCGAAUCGAAGAGUGUAAUACGUAUUUGUUAACCUGCCUGCGAUGUCAAGUUGAUUUUUAAUUCGGAUUCUCGCUUGAAACCUCUUUUUAAAACGUACCGGAGCGCUAAAUAUGGCUAGCAAAGUAUGGCAUACAGAAUUAUGGAAGUCAUGGGAUAAACAUGGAAGAAAUGAUUUCCUCAAGCUAAUCAAGCACAAAUUUAGGGAAGGCAACACACCAGAAUGGACACGUGGAUUAUACGAAUUAAUAUCAAAUGGAAUCCAGGGGAACAUAAAGAAGGACAGUAUAGUUCAGACAUUAGGUGAACUUAUGAAUUUUGAUGGUGCAAUACCAUCUGUAAUAGUAGAUAUAUUUACAUUAAUUGAUGCAGAAGCACAUAAUGAAGAGAGGAACAACUUUUACUAUAUUGUAAAAGAAUCUGAGAAGUUUUUGACCGAUAGAAUAUUGAAAGAACGUUUAGAAAUUGAAACCUUGCAAGAUGUAGGGACAUUGAAAAAUAAAAAUUUUCAAACCAAAUUUAUAAAAGUGAAGACAAAGCUAUAUUAUAAACAAAGGAAAUUUAACUUAUUUCGUGAAGAGAGCGAAGGUUAUUCCAAGCUUAUUGUAGAGUUAAAUCAAGAACGUUCAGAUAACGAGGUUGCUUCAACAUUGGAAAUCGUUAAAUCCCUUAUCGGUUAUUUCAAUCUUGAUCCUAAUAGAGUACUCGAUAUCUUGCUAGAAACCUUUGAGAAUCGGUCGCAAGACGAUGCUCUAUUUAUUCCCUUGAUACGUUCGUAUAUGAGCGACCGACAAGUACUCUGUGAAGUGUUGGGAUUUAAAUACUGUUCCACCAUUAACACUACACCGUUUUCUCUGCAAAAAGUUACCGCGCUCAUGCUGCAGCACGGUGUGAUCCAACUGGAUGAUAUAUUGUCUUGGCUAGUACCAGAUGAUAAAAUUAUCAUAUCAGAUCAUGAACAGGCGAUGAAACAAGCCAAGGAGUAUGUGCGGAAAUUAAGCGUAAUCUCAACUAAGGAUAAAGAGGAUGUUGCGGAAGAGAAGGACAAUGCACAAGUAAUAAAUGAGAAAUAUGCGAGCAAUCAAAAGUUUGGAUUAUGUGAAGCCCUUCUAGAAAUUGGAGCUUGGAAAGUGGCACAAGACUUGUUUAGUCGUUUGCCAGACUAUUGCCUUACGGAUCAGCGACCCAUAGCUCUAGCAUUGUGCAAAAUGAUCCAGGCUCUUAUCGAACCCGUAUACAGAAAGCACUGCAUUGUUUCCCCGAAAUUACCGGGUCGUAAAGUGCCUCCCUUGAAGAGCUCCCUCGCACCACCUUUGAUACACAAUCUGGUGGAUAUUCACGACCACUUGUUGCCAAUGCUGAUAGUGCUUGGGCCUAAUCUGCAUCAUGAUCCUAUUUUAAUGUACAAAAUAAUGAGGCUGUGCUAUGCUGCCAUUAAGCAUUGCGAGCUUGAUGCGAGUAAGCAACCACUGAACAAGGACUGCACUCUGUAUUACGAUGUUUUGACAAUUCUUGACGUUGCGCUACUACCCUCGCUUUCUUUCAUGGAUUGUAAUUGUUGCGUCGCCGAGGAACUGUGGAAUAUUCUUAAAUAUUAUCCCUAUCAAAAUCGUUACUCGUUGUACGCUCGCUGGAAGAACGAUACGCCAUUGCAGCAUGCCGCGCUACUGCGAAAACGCGCAGACGCCCAAAAAAAGAUCAAGUCGAUUAUGAAGCGUGUAAGCAAGGAAACAAUUAAACCGGUCGGCCGGUCGAUAGGCAAACUUACGCAUUCGUCGCCGGGUGUGUUGUUCGAUUAUGUCCUCGUACAAAUCCAACUGUAUGACAACCUUAUAGGACCUGUGGUGGAUUCUUUAAAAUACUUGACAAAUAUUUCAUACGAUGUAUUAGGAUACUGUCUCGUUGAGGCAUUAGCGGGUGCUGACAGAGAUAGAUUUAAACACGAUGGCACCAGUAUAUCCUUAUGGCUGCAAUCUCUGGCUUCCUUUUGCGGAGCGAUAUUCAAGAAAUAUAACAUCGAAUUGACAGGAUUGUUACAAUACGUAGCGAAUCAACUUAAAGCUCAAAAGAGCCUAGAUUUAUUGAUAUUAAAAGAGAUAGUACAAAAAAUGGCUGGUAUAGAGGCAGCUGAAGAGAUGACAUCUGAUCAGCUAGACGCAAUGGCGGGUGGGGAUCUGUUGAAAAAUGAGGCCGGUUACUUCAGUCAAGUUCGCAACACCAAGAAGUCUUCACAACGUUUGAAGGAAGCCCUUGCUGAGCAUGAUCUUGCGGUUGCUCUGUGCUUGUUAAUGGCGCAGCAGAAACAUUGCGUCGUUUACAGAGAAACGGAUAAAUCUCACUUAAAACUCGUCGGCAAGUUGUAUGAUCAGUGCCAAGAUACGCUAGUGCAAUUCGGGACGUUCCUGGGCUCUACUAUGACGGUGGACGAGUAUGUAGAACGGCUGCCCUCGAUCCAUUCUAUGCUCCAGGACAAUCAUAUACAUGCGGAUGUCGCAUUUUUUCUGGCGAGGCCGAUGUUUGCACACGCCAUUAAUAUAAAAUAUGACGCUCUUCGCAAAGCUGAUUCAAAUUAUAAGAAAAUGUCGACGGCUAUGAAACAAUUAAAAUAUGCGGAAGCCGCGCAAGCCGUCAUGGCACCCGUUGCUCAAUCUGUCAGGCCGUUACAUCCUCUAAAAGUGUGGGAGGACAUAUCACCGCAAUUCUUAGUCACAUUUUGGUCCUUAUCGAUGUAUGAUUUGUAUGUGCCGGUGGAAAGCUAUCAAAGAGAGGUCAAUAAAUUGAAGCAACUUGCCGCACAAACUGUCGAUUCCAAAGAUAUGAAUAUAAGUAAAGGGAAAAAAGAACAAGAAAGAUAUACCACUCUUAUCGAGAAGCUGCAGGAUGAAAAGAAGAAACAAGAGGAACAUGUCGAAAAAGUUUUUGCAUAUCUGAGACAAGAGAAAGAUACAUGGUUUUUAUCACGAAGCGCCAAAUCUGCCAAAAAUGAGACGAUAACGCAAUUUCUACAGUUGUGUCUAUUCCCGCGGUGUACAUUCACAACUGUGGAUGCCAUGUAUUGUGCAAAAUUUGUACAUACCAUCCAUUCCCUGAAGACUGCAAAUUUUUCAACUCUGCUUUGCUAUGAUCGUCUUUUCUGUGAUAUUACAUAUUCAGUCACCUCGUGCACAGAAAACGAAGCUAAUCGGUAUGGUAGGUUUUUAUGCGCCAUGUUGGAGACUGUAAUGCGGUGGCAUUCUGAAAAAGCCAUAUUUGAUAAGGAAUGCAGCAAUUAUCCAGGAUUUGUAACUAAAUUUCGCGUGAGCAAUCAAUUCUCUGAGGCAAAUGAUAUGGUUGGGUUUGAAAAUUAUAGACACGUAUGUCACAAGUGGCAUUACAAGAUUACAAAGGCUAUUGUAGUGUGUCUAGAUUCUAAGGAUUACGUGCAAAUAAGAAAUUCUUUAAUAAUACUGAUCAAAAUAUUACCACAUUUUCCCGUCUUGGCAAAACUCUCGCAAAUCCUUGAAAGAAAGGUAGAAAAAGUGAGGGAAGAAGAGCGUGGCCAGCGUCAAGACUUACAUGUCUUGGCUACAUCGUACAGUGGGCAAUUGAAAGCUAAAACUCCCAGUAUGAUACGUGAAUCAGAUUUCCAUCAUGUGGGUGAUAAGGCUGGAAAGACGCAAGACACUACGAAUAGUGAUACAAACGAGAAAGUUAGCAAUGGAGUAACGGCGAAAGAAGUUAAUAAUGGGGACACUCGGUCGGAAAAGGAAAAUAAGGAGCAACGAGAAAAACGAAGUUCAUCGAAUCAAACGCAUCAUGAAAAUUCUGAAAAAUUCCGAAAGAAAGAAGAUAAUAAGGACGUUUCGGAAGCAAAAGAGAAAUACAUCAAGAAAGAAGAAGUAAAAGAGGAGAUAAUUGAAAGAUCAGAUAAAAAGGAUCGCAAAUACUAUAAGGAAGAGCACUAUUACAGCGGUGGUAUUGAUAAUUUAGAUCGAGAUCUUUCUAGUGUGUCAAAUAGCAGCGCUGGUUCAGGGCCUACGCAAGAAGGGCCUGAGAGAGUUGCAGAUGCAAAAAGGAGAAAAUUAGAGAGUGUUCCGAAGCAGGAAGGAAGACGUGUCGACGUUAUUCUCGAUAAAAAAGAACGUUCCAGCAAAGGAAAAGUACGCGACGAACAGAAAGAAUUACGCAGAGAAAAGAAACAGGGUCGGAAAAGGGAUCGGACGGAAGAAUCCAUGGCAACCACUGAACAAAAACGGAGGAAAGAUGAUGAAAAAGUCAAAGGUACUCAUCAAAACGGUGACAUUCCUGAACAUAGAGAGAAGCAUCACUACAGUAAGUUGAUAAAGAUGUCUACUUCGAGUACGUUAAAAGGACGAAAUGGACGAUAAUAGUGGAAACAAGAAAAUAUAGACGGAAAAAUCCCCAUAUGCAAAGGAUCGUCCUCAUGAACGCGAAGGACGUGAAAGCCGUGAUAAACACAGAAGGAGUUCAGACCCGAAACGAAG